rnacentral:rRNA from 1 species
UGGGGAAUAUUGGACAAUGGGCGCAAGCCUGAUCCAGCCAUGCCGCGUGAGUGAUGAAGGCCUUAGGGUUGUAAAGCUCUUUUGUCCGGGACGAUAAUGACGGUACCGGAAGAAUAAGCCCCGGCUAACUUCGUGCCAGCAGCCGCGGUAAUACGAAGGGGGCUAGCGUUGCUCGGAAUCACUGGGCGUAAAGGGCGCGUAGGCGGCCUUGUAAGUUGGGGGUGAAAGCCCGUGGCUCAA